GCAGUCGAGCGGUAGCAGGUCCUUCGGGAUGCUGACGAGCGGCGGACGGGUGAGUAAUGCAUAGGAAUCUGCCCGGUAGUGGGGGAUAACCUGGGGAAACCCAGGCUAAUACCGCAUACGUCCUACGGGAGAAAGGGGGCUCCGGCUCCCGCUAUUGGAUGAGCCUAUGUCGGAUUAGCUAGUUGGUGAGGUAAUGGCUCACCAAGGCAACGAUCCGUAGCUGGUCUGAGAGGAUGAUCAGCCACAUCGGGACUGAGACACGGCCCGAACUCCUACGGGAGGCAGCAGUGGGGAAUAUUGGACAAUGGGGGCAACCCUGAUCCAGCCAUGCCGCGUGUGUGAAGAAGGCCCUCGGGUUGUAAAGCACUUUCAGCGAGGAAGAACGCCUAGCGGUUAAUACCCGCUAGGAAAGACAUCACUCGCAGAAGAAGCACCGGCUAACUCCGUGCCAGCAGCCGCGGUAAUACGGAGGGUGCAAGCGUUAAUCGGAAUUACUGGGCGUAAAGCGCGCGUAGGUGGCUUGAUAAGCCGGUUGUGAAAGCCCCGGGCUCAACCUGGGAACGGCAUCCGGAACUGUCAGGCUAGAGUGCAGGAGAGGAAGGUAGAAUUCCCGGUGUAGCGGUGAAAUGCGUAGAGAUCGGGAGGAAUACCAGUGGCGAAAGCGGCCUUCUGGACUGACACUGACACUGAGGUGCGAAAGCGUGGGUAGCAAACAGGAUUAGAUACCCUGGUAGUCCA
rnacentral:rRNA from 1 species